rnacentral:rRNA from 1 species
AGCAGCCGCGGUAAUUCCAGCUCCAAUAGCGUAUAUUAAAGUUGUUGCAGUUAAAAAGCUCGUAGUUGAAUUUCGGGAUCAAUAUGUCGGUCGUGCCUUCGGUACGUACUGGCAUCAUUGAUUUCUCCCUUCUGACGAACCACGAUGUCAUUAAUUUGGUGUCAUGGGGAGUCAGGACUGUUACUUUGAAAAAUUAGAGUGUUUAAAGCAGGCUCACGCUUGAAUACAUUAGCAUGGAAUAAUGAAAUAGGACGUUUGACCCUAUUUUGUUGGUUUCUAGGAUCAACGUAAUGAUUAAUAGGGAUAGUUGGGGGCAUUAGUAUUCAAUUGUCAGAGGUGAAAUUCUUGGAUUUAUUGAAGACUAACUACUGCGAAAGCAUUUGCCAAGGAUGUUUUCAUUAAUCAAGAACGAAAGUUAGGGGAUCGAAGACGAUCAGAUACCGUCGUAGUCUUAACCAUAAACUAUGCCGACUAGGGAUCGGGAUGAUGUUAAUUUUUUAAUGUACUUCAAUUUCGGACC